GUUUAUAUCAAGUUGGUUGGGGCGAGUUAUGCGAGAAAUAAAAUAUUGUUUGGAAAAUAUUUGGUGGUUAGGUUGAGUGUAUUUGAAAAAUCAGGUAGUUUGUUGUUAAAGUAAGUUUUAUUAAAAUAUUUGUGGGUUAAACUAAAGUGAAUAAGUACUGUAGGGGAAAUAUAUGUGUAUAUCGGGAAAGAAGAUUUGAGUUUUUGUACCUUUUGUAUCAGGGAUUUUUAAUUUGUUUUGAAAAUAUUUGUGGUUCCCAAAGUAAGGUGAGCUAAUUCAGUAAGUGUGUUUAUGUAGAAGAAUGAAGUUAAAUACUGUUUUAGUGGUGAAAUGUUAGUCGAACUUUAUAUAUUUGGUUGCUUUCGAAGAAAAUUUAAUUUGAUUUUUGUGGGCAGUAGCUGCAAGAUUGGAUUUUCAGGGGGAAGAGCUCCUGAGGUGAUAAUAAAAGGGGUAAGAUUGGCGGAUGCUGAAUUAGGCUUAGAAUCAGCUAUAUUAACAAAGCGUUUUAGAUGAUGCUAGUGUGAAGUGUAUUUUAGUAAAUUUUAUUUGGUAGUAGGAAGCCAUUGUUUAUAAUGGGGUUGAGUAAAAAAUAAUGAUUGUAUUAGUAGAGAAUUUAUUGGUGUUGGGGUUAAAUUAUCAGGAUAGGUUAGCUUGGGAUUUUAAUUAGGUUUUGGUGUAUUUAAGGAACUCGACAAAUGUUAUAUUCACCUGUUUAUCAAAAACAUGUCUAUUCGAAUAAAUUUUUUAGUCUGGCCUGCCCACUGAAUUAUUAAAGGGCCGCGGUAUUUGGACCGUGCUAAGGUAGCAUAAUCAAUAGUCUUUUAAUUGGAGUCUAGUAUGAACGGUCGGAUGGAAUAUGAUUUGUCUUCGAGUGUAAAUAUUGAAUUUUACUUUUGAGUGAAAAGGCUUAAAUUGUGUAGGGGGACGAUAAGACCCUGUGAAGCUUUAUUUUUGCUUUGAUUUUAGGGCUCAAUAGUUGUGUAGUUGGGUUUAAGUUUAGCAAAUAUUUGGUUGGGGCGACUGGAAUAUAUUUGUAACUGUUUUUGUUAGUAAAAUAAGUGAUUUUUAGGGUAUUGAUCCUGUGUUGUGGAUUAUAAGAUUUAAGUUACUCCAGGGAUAACAGCGUAAUUUUUCUUGAGAGUUCUUAUCGACAGAAAUAUUUGCGACCUCGAUGUUGAAUUAAGGUUUCAUCAAGAUGCAGAAGUCUUGCUUGUAGGUCUGUUCGACCUUUAAAAUCUUACAUGAUUUGAGUUCAGACCGGCGUGAGCCAGGUUAGUUUCUAUCUUUUACUUUUUGUAGAUCAUUUUAGUACGAAAGGAGUAAGUGGUCAAAAUAUUUUUUAAGCUUAGAUUUACUUUAAUUACUUU
rnacentral:rRNA from 1 species